rnacentral:lncRNA from 1 species
UUGCAAUAGGGCUGGGGCUGCAGUUGAUUGAAGAGCUUGUAUGCUAGCUAGGAUGUCUUACAUGGUAGCUUGCAUUUGCAAAAACCAAGACUCAAGUUUGUCAAUUGGAGAGUCAGUGUUAAGUUGGUUACCUAGCUGAAGCUUUGUUGGAUUGCGAUCGGACUUUUAGAAGGUUCUUGCAAUUGCAUAGGAGCAUACAUAGAUCAAUUGGGAUUGCUGUGGAGAACUUUUGGCUUGAUUAAGACCGUUGUGGAGUCUUGGUUUGUCUAGAAUUGCCACAAAGUCUCGAUUCGAUUGGAAUUGGUGCAAAGGAGGCUGGGUUCAAUUGGGAUUGCUGCGGAGUCCUGGUCCGACUUGAAUUGCUGUGGAGUCUUGGUUUGAUUGGGAUUGCUACGAAGUUCUAACUUUGACCGAAAUUGUUGCAAAGGAAUGUUGGUUCGAUUAAGGUUGUUAUGCAAGAGUCGUGGUUCGAUGAGUGAUUGUUGCGAAGGAGUCCUAGUUUGACUAGAUUUGCUGUGUAGGAGUCUUGGUUUGAUUGGGAUUGCUGCAAAGGAAUCUUGGUUCGAUUAGGACUACUGUGGUAGUCCUAGUUCAACUGGGACUUAGCUGUUUCAACCUUUAUCUGAUGGUGAGUUCUUGGUGUUGGAUGCAUGCUUUGACAUCAUUGCAUGGUUCACGGCCCUUGGUAGCAAGUCAGGCCGAUAGGAUCUACAGAUGGAGCGUGUUGUAGUGUAAUUAUGGCUAGUAAUGAAAGUAGGUUUGCCCUAGGAUUCGGCUGUGGAUGUAGGAUGUGGGAUGCUUGCGAGUGGAAGAGAAGCUAGGGUACAAAUACUACUAGGAUGACCUUUGCAGGACUUGUCCUCUAUCCACCCUCGAUUGGAUAAGGGAAUUCUAGCACACUCACAACUCCAGCAGAAAAGAACAAAAAAAUCCUUUGUAGGCUAGAAGUUUGAAAGCAGUUUGGACUUUGAAAGCAACUUGAAGUUCAAAAGAAAUUAGAAAUUUGAAAAAGACUAAUCUUGAGAGUAACUUUUUAUUUUUUUUGAGAUCAAAUAAGAAUAGGAAUUUAAAAAUGAUUGGGACUUAAAUGUUAAGAGAAUUAGGUUUCCUGCACUAAGCAUACAUGCAUACAAGGUCGAAACAAGAAAGAAUGUGCUUUGAUACUAGAAUGAGCGACAUGGUGGAAGAAAGGAAUCAAAAAAUUAAUUAUGAAAUAAACUAGAAGUCAAUUAAAGAUCAACUAGAAGUUUAGAAAAAAGAACUUAAGAGCAAACACAAGUUAACAUGCACUCACGAGAAAAGAUACUUCAUUAAUGUGAAUUUCAUGUAUACAUGGGGGUAUUAAUAUGUUUUAGGGUCCUUACGUUGCAAGAAACUUGAGGUCCCUUAAAUCUUGGUUCAAACUCAACUAACUUGUGAAACAAGGCUUCUAGAACAUCUUAAGAAUAUCAACUAGGACUCUAAAAGGUGCUCUAGAAUAAAGAAACAAGAAAGAUUUGACUAAGAAUAUUAGAAAAACUAUCCUUAAAUUAAUAGGCCAUGGAAUGACAUUUUCUUAAUUAUUUUGAACCUCGUCAACAACGUGUUAGCAUGAUAUGUCUUCAAUAAAAUCAUCAUAACUUCAUUUUAAGCUCCAGAUAAGGUGAUUCGGGAUGCAUUGUAAAUGCUGGAUAUAUUGGAAAUGGUUUGAGCACGAAAUUCACCUUGUACUGACUUUGUAAUGCUAUCUUUGGGACUGUUGUGCGCUAGACUGCAACUUGACUUCUUAUUACGUUCUUAGCUUCCAAAACUUAAGCUCAUUAGGCACAUGUGAGUCAAGUGUCACUUCAUAUCCACCUUCUACUCAGUUUUGGAAGUGUCUGGAGCACGGUCUGCUGAACCGGCCCG